CAUGUUUUUAUAGAAAAAAACCAAACACUAUGUUAACUAUUAAGGAUUCAAUCGGCCAGAAUGAGCCCUCGGGCCCAUAUGCUUCGUCUCGUCUCACACACACUGACCCAACUGAUUUUCGCCAUCGGCUGACACUUUUGAGACUGGACAACCCCUUCGUCGAGUUGAAAUCUCGAAGCUUACAUUGCUUUAUCGUUUCAGAUCCCAAAAGAAUCGAGUUAGAGAGAGAUGACAGACGUAUCAAUUUGCAGUAGGACCGGCAGUGGGGAGCUCACGCCGGAGGAAGAGAGGGUUUUGAUUAGAGACAUUGCAAUUUCUGCCGAAGCUAAUAGCAAAGAGGGAGACACAUUCUACUUAAUCACUCAGAGAUGGUGGCAACACUGGAUUGAAUAUGUGAACCAAGACCAGCCAAAUAUAUCAAAUGAUGGGUCCUUUUUGUUAGAACAUUGUGAUUUGGUUGGUUCUUCAAAGAGGCCUGCCAGUAUUGAUAAUUCUGAUUUAAUAUAUGAUGCAACAUCAGAGGACUUCUAUGUCGGCAUUGAGAUUCAUGAUAGUCUGUUAGAAGGCCGUGAUUAUGUACUGCUUCCACAAGAAGUUUGGAACCAGUUGUAUUCAUGGUAUGGAGGUGGUCCAACAUUGGCACGGAAAGUAAUCAGUUCAGGUCUAUCUCAGACAGAAUUAGCUGUGGAGGUGUAUCCUCUCCGUCUUCAAUUACUGGUUACACCUAAGGGUGACCGCAUUACGAUAAGAAUAAGCAAGAAGGAGACAAUUGGGGAGCUUCAUAGAAGAGCAUGUGAGAUUUUUUAUCUCAACUCAGAACAAGUUUGCAUUUGGGAUUACUAUGGCCACCGAAAGCAUGCUUUGAUGCAUGACAUGGAUAAAACUCUUGAUGAUGCCAACAUACAGAUGGAUCAGGAUAUUCUGGUGGAGGUUCUUAACAAUGUCAAUGGUACUGCAUUGAAUGGUCAUAUGAGUCCUAUUCUGGACAAUGGAUCUAAUCAGAAGGAAGCUAGUUCUAUUAUUUUAGAGCCUUCUAAGUCAAGCUUAUCAAUUGCAGGAGGUUUUUCUGCAAGCAAGGGUGCUUCUAGAAGUUGCAUUGUGGAGUUGUCACAAGGUCAAAACCUGACGUCUCCAGGUGGGGAGUUGGAUAACACAUAUGUGGUUAGUGGUGUCAGUACAAGGGGGUCUUCUGGUGGCCUGACUGGGUUGCAGAACCUAGGAAACACAUGCUUUAUGAAUAGUGCAAUACAAUGUCUUGUUCAUACUCCUGAGUUUGCAAAAUACUUCCGGGAGGAUUAUCAUCAAGAGAUAAAUUGGCAAAACCCCUUGGGAAUGGUGUUUCUUGAGAAGUAUGUUCUGGUCUUUGGGGUGCAUAGGAAAAUUGGUCAAUGGAAAAUGCUUUCUUGGUCAAAGGGGAGCCCAACAAUUUUUAAGGGUGAGCUAGCAAUGGCAUUUGGUGAUUUACUCAGAAAGCUAUGGGCACCUGGUCGGACACCAGUUCCUCCUCGCCAAUUUAAAGCAAAGCUGGCUCGUUUUGCUCCUCAAUUUAGUGGGUACAAUCAACAUGAUUCUCAGGAGCUUUUGGCAUUUCUCCUAGAUGGUCUUCAUGAGGAUUUGAAUCGUGUCAAACACAAACCUUACAUAAAGUCUAGAGAUGCUGAUGGUCGUCCAGAUGAAGAAGUUGCUGAUGAGUACUGGGCAAAUCACAUUGCUCGUAAUGAUUCUAUAAUUGUUGAUGUGUGCCAAGGGCAAUACAAGUCAACAUUGGUUUGCCCAAUGUGCAAUAAAGUCUCUGUCACAUUUGAUCCCUUCAUGUACCUCUCUUUGCCACUCCAAUCCACCACUACCCGGUCUAUUACAGUGACAGUUUUUUCUUGUGAUGGAAGCACCCUGCCGUUUGCUUGCACAGUGACUGUUCCAAAGCAGGGACGGUGUAGAGACUUGAUCCAUGCCCUUAGCAAUUCUUGUUCCUUAAAGAGCAAUGAAGAGCUUAAACUUGCAGAGGUACGGAACCAUUUAUUUCAAAGGUUUCUAGAUGACCCUUUGAUAUCUUUAUCCAUGAUCAAAGAUGAUGACCAUCUUGCUGCCUACAAGAUUCCAAAGUUGGCAAAGAAAGCACUUGUGCUUAGGUUGAUUCAUCGCCGUCAAGAAGGGGAAACAAAUGAUACCCAAACUAUGUUGCGGUGGAAACCUUAUGGUACACCUCUUUUAUCAUCAAUCUCAUGUCAUGAUGUAGUUACGAGAGGUGAUAUACAGACUGCAGUUCACAAAAUGCUCUCCUCUUUUCUAAGAGCUGAGAGUUCAAGACAUACUGAGAUUGCUGAUUCCAACAACCUGGUGGCAGAAUCAGAUGCAUGCCAUGACAGCAGUUCUGGUGAAGCAUAUACAGAUCCUGUAUCUGAUUCUAUAAUGAACAGUAGUAGUUCCAAGGCAUUGGCAUUAUUGAGACUGCCACUUCAGUUAGCUGAUGAAAGUAAUACAUUAACUGAUCUUUCAGUGGGAGAAGAGGAAGUCAUCAGAUUGUCCUCAUCAGCAACAGCAAUAAUAGUAUAUGUAGAUUGGUCUCAGGAGCUCUUAGAGAGCUAUGAUACCCAUUACUUGGAAAACUUAUCUGAAGUGCUCAAAUAUGGACCUGUGAAUAAGAAAGCUCGUACUGAACCACUCUCCUUGUACACCUGUCUGGAAGCUUUUCUGCGUGAAGAGCCCUUGGUACCUGAAGAUAUGUGGUACUGUCCACAAUGCAAAGAACAACGACAAGCAAGUAAAAAGCUUGACUUAUGGAGGCUUCCUGAAGUGUUAGUCAUCCACUUGAAGAGGUUCUCAUAUAGCAGGUCAAUGAAGCAUAAAUUGGAAACUUUUGUUGAUUUUCCCAUUCAUGACUUAGACUUGGCAAAUUAUGUAGCCAACAAGAACAGCACCCGACGUCAGCUCUAUGAACUUUAUGCCUUAACCAACCAUUAUGGUGGCAUGGGAAGUGGGCACUAUACUGCUCAUAUAAAGCUUCUGGAUGAGAACAGGUGGUACAACUUUGAUGACAGCCACAUAUCAUCCAUAACUGAAGAUGAAAUAAAGACAGCUUCUGCAUAUGUCCUAUUCUAUCGCAGGGUGAAGACUAAUGGUGCCAUUAGCAAUGGGGGAAAGCCUUCUGAGGCUCGCCAUUCAUCCCAUAAGUAACUCCAGCAACAUGUGUAUUACCUGCCAUACUGUAUCAAGAGCCAGGUGUGCGCCCAAGAUGAUUCCCGCACCCAAGAUGAUUCCCACACCCUCCCAUGCGCCUCACAAACCUCACAAGUCCUUUGAAGUACCUCAUGGCGGGCCAUGCGCCUCAUUUAGUCCCUUGGUGUGUCUCAUGGCGGGCCAUGAGUCUCAUGGCAAUCCCAUUGCUGGCCAUGCAUCUCAUGGCCCUCAAAAAUUCUUCCUAAUGCAUCUCACAAGAGGUCAUGCGUCCAAGAUUCACAGGCAGCUGCCACCGAGGCCAUUGCAGUGCCUGAAAUUGUGAAGCUAAGCUAUUGUAAACAUCAAGAAAAGGCACAUACUAAUUCUGAAGUUGACGUUUAGGGCCUACUGUAUGCAGGGUAUCAACAAUUGUUAAUAUUUUUUGUAGACAAUUUUAUCAUGGAAGAGAGAAAGAGACUGGUAGUAGGACGAUCUAUUUUUUGUUUCCUUUGUUUUAUUAUUUUUCGUUUUCUUUUCCUCCUGCAGAACAAUAAAAAUUUAUACCCCAAGUUGGGGGGAUAUUAGGUA